ensembl:snRNA U2 U2 spliceosomal RNA
GUCGCUUCUUGGCCUUUUGGCUAAGAUCAAGUGUAUUAUUAUUAUUAUUAUUAUUAUUUAUUACAGUACUUGUACCCCACCCUUC